AUACGAAGGGGGCUAGCGUUGUUCGGAAUUACUGGGCGUAAAGCGCGUGUAGGCGGAUCGUUAAGUCAGGGGUGAAAGCCCGGGGCUCAACCCCGGAACUGCCCUUGAUACUGGCGAUCUAGAGUCCGGAAGAGGUGGGCGGAAUUCCCGGUGUAGAGGUGAAAUUCGUAGAUAUCGGGAGGAACACCAGUGGCGAAGGCGGCUCACUGGUCCGGUACUGACGCUGAGACGCGAAAGCGUGGGGAGCAAACAGGAUUAGAAACCCUUGUAGUCC
rnacentral:rRNA from 1 species